GAUGAACGCUGGCGGCGUGCCUAAUACAUGCAAGUCGAACGAAACUUCUUUAUCACCGAGUGCCUGCACUCACCGAUAAAGAGUUGAGUGGCGAACGGGUGAGUAACACGUGGGCAACCUGCCCAAAAGAGGGGGAUAACACUUGGAAACAGGUGCUAAUACCGCAUAACCAUAGUUACCGCAUGGUAACUAUGUAAAAGGUGGCUAUACUACCGCUUUUGGAUGGGCCCGCGGCGCAUUAGCUAGUUGGUAGGGUAAAGGCUUACCAAGGCAAUGAUGCGUAGCCGAAUUGAGAGGUUGAUCGGCCACAUUGGGACUGAGACACGGCCCAAACUCCUACGGGAGGCAGCAGUAGGGAAUCUUCCACAAUGGGCGAAAGCCUGAUGGAGCAACGCCGCGUGGGUGAAGAAGGUCUUCGGAUCGUAAAACCCUGUUGUUAGAGAAGAAAGUGCGUGAGAGUAACUGUUCACGUUUCGACGGUAUCUAACCAGAAAGCCACGGUUAACUACGUG
rnacentral:rRNA from 1 species